AAACUUGCUGAAUUAUUCACCCUUGUCUUUUGCGUACUUCUUGUUUCCUUGGUGGGUUCGCCCACCACUAGGACAAACAUAAACCUUUUGUAAUUGCAAUCAGCGUCAGUAACAAAUUAAUAAUUACAACUUUCAACAACGGAUCUCUUGGUUCUGGCAUCGAUGAAGAACGCAGCGAAAUGCGAUAAGUAGUGUGAAUUGCAGAAUUCAGUGAAUCAUCGAAUCUUUGAACGCACAUUGCGCCCUUUGGUAUUCCAAAGGGCAUGCCUGUUCGAGCGUCAUUUGUACCCUCAAGCUUUGCUUGGUGUUGGGCGUCUUGUCUCUAGCUUUGCUGGAGACUCGCCUUAAAGUAAUUGGCAGCCGGCCUACUGGUUUCGGAGCGCAGCACAAGUCGCACUCUCUAUCAGCAAAGGUCUAGCAUCCAUUAAGCCUUUUUUUCAACUUUUGACCUCGGAUCAGGUAGGGAUACCCGCUGAACUUCAGCAUAUCAAUAAGCGGAGGAAA
rnacentral:rRNA from 1 species